AGAGGGAGGAGUUAAGGAGACAGACAGAGAGAGAGAGAGAUCUGAGGAGAAGAGGGAGAACCAAAAUGGAGGCUGACGUGGUGUUAUCAAAGUGGAGUGACCAGGGCUGACAGGUAUUCUGACAUCUGCUCCCUGAGAGGUGACGUGGGAAGUCCUGCACUGUGAGUCCAUUGAGUAGGACACACCCAGGCCUCUUCUUUUCUCCAGGAUAUGUGCAAGAUGAGAGCCAGCCAUCGUCUCCUGAUAGUGGAGAUUUGAUCUGAAGCAUUCAAAUAGGAAAUGAAUGCUCAGAGGAAGCUUCAAAUUUCUUUCUACUUGAAGAAGCUGAAUUGCAGAAGCUAUCUCUGUCCUGUUAAUCACCGGGUCCACAGUGAAACCAGCCAACUUCAGAGAAGACUCUUGUGCUGCGUGACCCCUGACUGUAACCAAGUGUCCUUCUCUCUGAGACGUUCCCUCGGAGCUUGUUCUCACAGCCCUCACCUCCAGUGACCUCCACGAACUUUUCCACACGAGGGGUUCUCUGCUUCCCUCCAUCUGAGCUGCGCAAUUCCACCAGGCCUUUUGCUCCUCUUCAGUCAGGUGCUUUGGAGGUAAUGAAGUCUUUCGGGGGAAAAAUAAACAAAGGAAAUGCACCCGGUUGAUGUCAAUGGACUUGUUUAACUAUUUAAGGCCACUGUCUCCAAGUGUAAGUGUGCUGCGGUGUGUUUUGUAAAGUAGCGCUUAUAAUCCACUGAGCUUUCCAAACAGCCCUCUUGCCUAUUAAGCCUGCAUUGAGAAGUGGGUUUAAUUUGCCAGAGUAGUUUUUUGUGAUAAUUACAGGACUUGCAGAUUAGCUUGAGUGACUUGGCAAGGUUCUGUAGCUAAUAAAAAAUCACACAGGAAAAAAAUUGUAACAUUCAAUUGCUUCAAGGUUCUUCACGAGAGAAACAUUAAACAAACCUGAUAGGCCAGUUUCCAGUCUGUGAAACUGCACCGAAGGCUUGCUCACAUGAUUGAGGUCAGAUUGCGUUCUCCACUCUUACACUACCCAGAAUCCCCUUCCCAAGGACUAGUGCCACUGCAAUGGGCAAGUUCCCCACCUCAAUAAAGAUAACCCUACAUCAUAUUUUACAGCAGGACUUUGGGUCCCUAACCUGCAACUCAGCACUCAGUCCAUCAUGGGCUUUGCUAGUCUCUGUGACUUCUCCAGGGCAGGAAAGUGACAGGUUUCUGCGCAAGGGAGCCCGAGGUACCUGGUUCAGGAUGGAGAGGGCACUUGAGAGGCGUCAAAAGCAAGCACAGUUAGAGGACAUCAGCGAUGUUAAAACCCCACGAGGGUCAACAGUAGCCCAGGCAAAAUAAAGGAGCCUGAAGUGGAAAAACAGAAAUGGAACAAGACGUUUGUUCUGGAGCACGUGAGAUUGUCCUUCUAAGACAUUUCCAGAAGUAUUCAAAGGAAGAUUUAAUGGGAAAUCAUUAUGCAAAAGAGUCAGUAAUAUAUUUUAGUUUCAAAAAGUACGGAGCGUGACGCCUGUCAAUUAUACCUUCUGCAAAGGUGAGUGGCGGUUGUCCUUGCUGUUCCAAAAUGCAAAGAGAAACAAACAAACAAACAAACAAGCAAACCAGCUACUCCUAUUCCGCACUCCAAACACCAAGCAGAAAUGCUUCUGGGACAAACUGAGCUUCAUUCUUUAUGAAAAUGAAAACACUUCUUUCUGUGCACUAGGAAAAUGUUCUGCCUCUGAGCUGCAAAACCAGCACCAAACUUGAAAAGUUUGUGCAUCAAAGGAAAAAGGCAACCUACAGGAUGGGGGAGAAUAUUUGCAGGACACAUGUCCUGGAAGGAAUACAUAUUUAGACUGAAUAAAAUGAGUAAGAGGAGGGAUAGGGAGUUCGUGUUCAAUGUUGAGAGCUUGGGACAGUUGAGAAAACGCUCCGGAGUGUUCUGCAGAUGAAUGAUGGUGACGACUGCAUCAGUGUGAAUGUCCUUAACGCCGUCAAAAAUUGGUUAUAAUGGCAAAUUUUAUGCUACAUAUGUUUUACUACAAUAAAAAUGCCAGGAAAAUCUAACUGCUCCAAAUCCUGAAUUUAUUAACCCAAUAAAUUAGGAGAUGGUUAUUGACCUAUAAAUGGAUUUGUCAAUUUUUAAAAUGAUUUCCUUUAAAUUGAAUUCUUUCCUAGAGCUUUAUUGUCUCUUCACAAACCAUUAAACACUUGUUAAAGUGUUCAGAGAGGGCUGAGAUGGAGGAGGAAGUGAAAACCAAACAAACAGAUGAGGGACCUUCCCCAAAUGAUGUCUGCUAACAGGCUUCUUGGGUAUUCUAUUUAUAUAGAUUUUACAAGUGUUUUAUUUGAGAGGAAAAAUCCCUAGACCUUACAUAGUACAAUGAACUUCUUAUGCCUGUCAGCUAGAUUUAUUAAUUUUUAACGAGGUGUAUUACUUUUAAAAGCUAUCUAUUUACUAUUGGGGGAGGGAGAAGGACAAAGGACAUCUUGCAGAAGUCUGGUCUCUCCUGCUAUGUGGGUUCUGGAGAUAGGAAAUCAGGCAGGUUGUCAGGCCUAGAAGCAAAGGCCUGUCUGCACUGAGCCAUCUUACUUGUCUUAUUUUGUUACUUUUGAUGACCUAUUUUAGACAUCACUAUUCUAUAGCCCUAAGUAUAACUUCAAGUAUGUAUCUUCCACAAUGACUUUAUGACCAUGAAAUCAAUUCAAGAAAUUUAACAUGUAUGCAGUUCUAUCCAGCGUACAUACAGAUUUCUCAUCCCCCCUUUUACUGUAGUUUAUAGAAAAAGCAAUUCUCUUCCAUAUCUAGAGUUUGACAAGGAAUAUGCAUUGCAUUUGGUUUCUGUGUUCUUUAAUCUCUUGUUGUACAGAACUUCAACCUUUCAUGACAGGUUGAACAAUUUUGGAUCAUACAGGCUGUCAUGGUUUGAAUAUGUUUGGCCCAGGGAGUGGUACUGUUAGGGGUGUGGUCUUCUUGGAAUAGGUGUGUCACCGUGGGCGUGGGCUUUAAGACCCUCAUCCUUAGCUUCUGGAAGUCAGUCUUCCACUAGCAACCUUCAGAUGAAGAUGUAGAACUCUCACCAUCUCCUGCACUAUACCUGCCUGGAUAUCGCCAUGUUCCUGCCUUGAUGAUUAUGGACUGAACCUCUGAACCUGUAAGCCAGCCCCAAUUAAAUUUGUCCUUAUAAGAGUUACCUUGGUCAUGGUGUCUGUUCACAGCAGUAAAACCCUAACUAAGACACAGGCCAAUUACAGAAUGUCUCUUUUUGGUGUGUGCAGUGUUAAAGUUUGAAGCACAAGCCUAAUGCUUGUUAGACAAGCACUCUACCGCUGCUCUACAUCAGCAGCUCAGUGUGCCUCUUGUCUUGAUGGGCUCAUUGUUUUUUAUGACCCAGUGCAUUGGGGUGAGCAGCUCACACAGGUACGAAGGGGUCCCUCUCAGAGCUUAACAUCAGGGAACUCAAUGUUGGUUUGUCUGUUCUAUUUCAGCUGAGCUAGUAUCUGGCAGUUCCCCACAACCCCCAUCAAGUUACCACUUUUUUCUUUGUAAUUGUAAUUUGCAAAGAAAUAUUUGCAAGAUUAAGUAAUAGACUACACAACGUGUUUUAGCUUCCACUGAGCAUUCAGCCUGAACUGUUUUAUAAAGUUAUGAAAUGAUAGAUUUCCAACUUAAUAAUUAUUUUAAAGACUUAUUUUAUUUUUAGUUCUGCAUGUAUGCCUGUGUGUGCACGUGUGUACCUAUGUAUCUGUAUGGUUAUGUGCACAUGAAUGCAGAUGUCCAAGGAGAAGAGGCCAGACACAUUGGAUCCCUGGUGCUCAAGUGGGAGGUGGCUGUCAGCUGCUGUAGGAAGGUGAUGGGAACUCAGCUUGAGUCCUUUGCAAGAACAGCAUGAGCUCUUAAACACAGAGCCACAUCUUCAGUCCCUCUCUUAUUUUUUUAAAAAUUAUUCUCUCUCUGUGUAUGUGUGUGUAUACAGAGGUCAGAGGAUCAUUUUUGUAAAAUUAGUUCUCUCUACCUUUUUUUGUGGGCUCUGGGGACUAAACUCAAGUUGUUGGGAUUUUGUGACAAGUGCUGUAUCCACUGAGCCCUCUCACAUGCCCUUAAAUGUUAUUUUAAAUAAUAGCAAAUGAGUACGUUCAAGCAUACGAGAAUAAGCAUGUCCUAUUGAUUUGAAUAUGCAAAAGUAUGCCAAUUUUUUAAAUCUCUAUUACCAAGUGGACAAGUAUUCCAUUUUAUCUCCAAAAGUAAAGAUUUCUUUUAGAUACAGUCAUGUGGAUUAUACAACUUGACUGAAGCCAUGUCUCCAAGAUACAUACCUAGAGGGUAAAGGGAAUGCUUUAAAGGAGCGUGAUUAUGAAUAUCCAAGCUGAAAAUAAACACUAAUUACUAACAAAAAGGAUUACUGAGAAAAAUAUGGGUUGGUUUUCAGUACUUGACUCUGUAAAGUUAUUUCUUUUCUUAUUUAGUUUUUAUUCAUAAUCAUAAACUUAACUUUGCCAUCCAGCUAGACUUGAAGGGGAAUGAGGAAAAUAUGGAACCCAAAGAACUUGAGCAGAGAUUACAGGGUAUUUCAAGCAGAUGGGGUAGGGAUGCUCUCCUGCGCUACAGAAGGAAUGGUUGGAUGGGUAAAAUGCCUGCAAGUCAAAAGAAAUUAGAGUUAUCCACAGUCGGAAAUGGUCUUGCUGGUCUUUCCAUUCCUGGACCCAAAACACUCCAUGGCUUCCACAAUGUUCAUGCCUUCUUUCACCUUCCCAGACACCACAUGCUUGCCAUCCAGCCACUUAGUCUUGGCAGUGCAGAUAAAAAACUGGGAACCGUUUGUGUUGGUCCAGUAUUUGCCAUGGACAAGAUGCCAGGACCUGUAUGCUUCAGGAUGAAGAUCUCAUCCUCAAAUUUCUCUCCAUAGAUGGAUCUGCCGCCAGUGCCAUUAUGGCAUGUAAAGUCACCACCCUGGCACAUGAAUCCUGGAAUAAUUCUGUGAAAGGAGGAACCCUUCUAGUAAAAUCCUUUCUCUCCAGUGCUCAGAGCAUGAAAGUUUCCCGCUGUCUUUGGAACUUUGUCUGCAAACAGCUGGAAGGAGACUCUUCAAGGGCUCGUCAUCGGCCGUGAUGUCAGAGAACACGGUGGGGUCGACUGUGGCUACAGCAAGAGGACCAACGGUACUGUUGCUCUAGCUACAGGAAUAAUCCUGGGCAGCACUUGUUGACCUUGGUCACUGUCAAGGGAAGAUCGGCUGUUCCCACUGAGGGCAUCUUGAUGGAUUAAGGUGAUCAGCUGAUCAAUGUGAGGGGACAGAUGGGAGCUAGGAACUGUCUCGGUACUGAGUCAUUUUUCAUCUAAUGUGCAAGAAACCCAAAGAGCACAUCAAACAGCGAACUACGCCUAAGCUAUCCAUGUUUCUCCUGCUUCUUCUGAGAGGGUGAUUUACACGUAGCUCAACACUCGAGUGUUGCAGUAUCGAGUGACUGCAACCAAACAAUGGAACAUGCAUCGUGCCUGUUGACAGAGCCUGCAGUUGGCUUGGAACCGGGACCAUGCUGCAUUCGACAUCGUUCCUGGUGGCUGACUUGUUCCCAUAGAAUUAAAUGCUAGGCAUCCAGAAGCUGACUGUGCAUCUGAUGGGCUCACUAACAUUCAGGAACAGGUUGGCCUCAGACUUCAUCAAUGGAAAGUGUAGGCAUAGGACAAAAAAAAGAGCACGUUUGAAAGACUACAUUUUCAUGAAAUUGGAAAUGCUACAUGCAAGCUGCAGAUGCUGAUUGCAGAGUCAGAAGACAUGGCCGUCAGUGUUAGGACUCUGCCUUAUUCUGCUAUUUCUCCUUGACGACCUACAGUUUGCAUUGUGGGUGGCAUUCAUUAACGAGGGCAGUAAAAACAUGGAGAAAACAUUGCAAGCUCUCCUUCGUGUUUCGCUCACUGGCCAAGUAGCUAACCAACUAGGUGUUCAGGCUCCCAUGUGUCUCAAUAUGAUGUGGCUCCUUCCAGUAGCAACCAUCCUGAGCAGAGACCUUUGUUCUAAUUUAAAAAUUAGACAUGAUAUAGAGCUUACCACACAUUUUUCCCCCUGAAGAUUAAAGAUCUUCAUGAAGGUACUGGCUUAAAAGACAUCAACCCCAAGCCUUUCGAAGGAUAUGCACUUGAGAUUGCCAUACUCGAUGGUGCGUCCAAUUAACUUAGAAAUACCCUUGACAUUUCUCAUCCGUGAAGAGAAGCUUUAGGUGACAGUUUUCAUGGUGUGGGUACUCUCGGUGCCUAAUUUGCUUUUUUUUCUUGUUUUCAAGCCUGAAAGGGAAAUAGCCUUGGCUUUCAGCUCUGGAGCGCGAUGCCCUCCUUACGAGUAUUCAGCUACUGUCUGAACCAUUGUACUUGCCUUCCCCUCCAUACCCCUUUUUCCCCAAAGUCCCGUUGAUAGCUCAUU
rnacentral:lncRNA from 1 species